rnacentral:sRNA from 13 species
UAUAGCUCUUUUUUGAAGCGAGUUAUGCCCCUUUUACAGUUUGAGGCGAGAGAGUAAGAGGCGCCAGACAUAACGACUGUCUCUUUCUCUGGCGUCUCACCUCCAACUUUAAAGGCGCAUAACUCGCUUCAAAAAAGUGCUAU